AAUCAUAGAAACAGAAAAAAGUGAGUCAGAAGGGGUCUCCAAGGCCAUCUAGUCUGACCAUUGGCUCCAGCCGGCUCCAUUCAUGUGAUCUCCCACAUGUGGUUGUCCAGACUUUCCUUGAUCACCCUCACUGAUGGGGUCUCAACCACCUCCC